AAUGAACGCUGGCGGCAGGCCUAACACAUGCAAGUCGAACGAGUGGCGGACGGGUGAGUAAUGUCUGGGAAACUGCCUGAUGGAGGGGGUUAACUUCUGGAAACGGUAGCUAAUACCGCAUACCAUCGGAUGUGCCCAGAUGGGAUUAGCUAGUAGGUGGGGUAAAGGCUCACCUAGGCGACGAUCCCUAGCUGGUCUGAGAGGAUGAACGGCCGCACUGGAACUGAGACGCGGUCCAGAGUCCUACGGGAUGCAGCAGUGGGGAAUAUUGCACAAUGGGCGCUAGCCUGAUGCAGCCAUGCCGCGUGUAUGAAGAAGGCCUUGGGGUUGUAAAGUACGUUCAGCGGGGGUGCGUUACCCGCAGAAGAAGCACCGGCUAACUCCGUGCCAGCAGCCGCGGUAAUAC
rnacentral:rRNA from 1 species